AGCUCCAAUAGCGUAUACUAAAGUUGUUGCAGUUAAAAAGCUCGUAGUUGGAUUUCUGGUCGUGGGUCUCAGUCCUCUCCUCGCGGAGUGCGUACUGCGAUCUGCAGCCAUCCUCGGAGUAAACACAUCUCGCAUUAAGUUGUGUGGGUGUGGGAACUUCGUCAUUUACUGUGAGCAAAAUAGAGUGUUCAAAGCAGGCUUAGGCCGUUGAAUACAUUAGCAUGGAAUAAUAAGAUAGGACCUUGGUCUAUUUUGUUGGUUUGUAUUCCAAGGUAAUGAUUAAUAGGGAUAGUUGGGGGUAUUCGUAUUCAAUUGUCAGAGGUGAAAUUCUUGGAUUUAUGGAAGACGAACUACUGCGAAAGCAUUUACCAAGGAUGUUUUCAUUAAUCAAGAACGAAAG
rnacentral:rRNA from 1 species